GAUGAACGCUAGCGGCAGGCCUAACACAUGCAAGUCGAGGGGUAGAGUUCUUCGGAACUUGAGACCGGCGCACGGGUGCGUAACGCGUAUGCAAUCUACCUUAUACAGGGGAAUAGCCCAGAGAAAUUUGGAUUAAUGCCCCAUAGUGUUAUCGAAUCGCAUGGUUUGAUAACUAAAGUUCCAACGGUAUAAGAUGAGCAUGCGUCCCAUUAGUUAGUUGGUAAGGUAACGGCUUACCAAGACAAUGAUGGGUAGGGGUCCUGAGAGGGAGAUCCCCCACACUGGUACUGAGACACGGACCAGACUCCUACGGGAGGCAGCAGUGAGGAAUAUUGGUCAAUGGGCGCAAGCCUAAACCAGCCAUGCCGCGUGCAGGAAGACGGUCCUAUGGAUUGUAAACUGCUUUUAUACAGGAAGAAACCCUCCCACGUGUGGGAGCUUGACGGUACUGUAGGAAUAAGGAUCGGCUAACUCCGUGCCAGCAGCCGCGGU
rnacentral:rRNA from 1 species